rnacentral:rRNA from 1 species
AUACGUAGGGUGCAAGCGUUAAUCGGAAUUACUGGGCGUAAAGCGUGCGCAGGCGGUUUUGUAAGGCAGAGGUGAAAUCCCCGGGCUCAACCUGGGAACUGCCUUUGUGAUUGCAAGGCUGGAGUGCGGCAGAGGGGGAUGGAAUUCCGCGUGUAGCAGUGAAAUGCGUAGAUAUGCGGAGGAACACCGAUGGCGAAGGCAAUCCCCUGGGCCUGCACUGACGCUCAUGCACGAAAGCGUGGGGAGCAAGCAGGAUUAGAUACCCUGGUAGUCCACGCCCUAAACGAUGUCAACUGGUUGUUGGGGAUUUAUUUUCUCAGUAACGAAGCUAACGCGUGAAGUUGACCGCCUGGGGAGUACGGCCGCAAGGUUAAAACUCAAAUGAAUUGACGGGG